AGAGUUUGAUCCUGGCUCAGAUUGAACGCUGGCGGCAGGCCUAACACAUGCAAGUCGAGCGCGAAAGCCUUUCGGGGUGAGUAGAGCGGCGGACGGGUGAGUAACGCGUAGGAAUCUACCUGGUAGUGGGGGACAACUUGGGGAAACUCAAGCUAAUACCGCAUACGCCCUAAGGGGGAAAGUGGGGGAUCUUCGGACCUCACGCUAUCGGAUGAGCCUGCGUAGGAUUAGCUAGUUGGUGAGGUAAAGGCUCACCAAGGCGACGAUCCUUAGCUGGUCUGAGAGGAUGAUCAGCCACACUGGAACUGAGACACGGUCCAGACUCCUACGGGAGGCAGCAGUGGGGAAUAUUGCGCAAUGGGCGAAAGCCUGACGCAGCCAUGCCGCGUGUGUGAAGAAGGCCUUAGGGUUGUAAAGCACUUUCAAUUGGGAAGAAAAGUUGGUCGUUAAUAGCGGUCAGCCCUGACAUUACCUUUAGAAGAAGCACC
rnacentral:rRNA from 1 species